rnacentral:rRNA from 1 species
UACGUAGGGUGCAAGCGUUAAUCGGAAUUACUGGGCGUAAAGCGUGCGCAGGCGGUUGUGCAAGUCAGAUGUGAAAUCCCCGGGCUCAACCUGGGAACUGCAUUUGUGACUGCACAGCUUGAGUGCGGCAGAGGGGGAUGGAAUUCCGCGUGUAGCAGUGAAAUGCGUAGAUAUGCGGAGGAACACCGAUGGCGAAGGCAAUCCCCUGGGCCUGCACUGACGCUCAGGCACGAAAGCGUGGGGAGCAAACAGG